UCAGUACGGGAGGCAGCAGUCGGGAAUAUUGCGCAAUGGAGGAAACUCUGACGCAGUGACGCCGCGUGCAGGAAGAAGGUUUUCGGAUUGUAAACUGCUUUUAACAGGAAAAGAAAAAAAUGACGGUACCUGUUGAAUAAGCUCCGGCUAACUACGUGCCAGCAGCCGCGGUAAUCUGA
rnacentral:rRNA from 1 species